rnacentral:rRNA from 1 species
GACGAACGCUGGCGGCGUGCUUAACACAUGCAAGUCGAACGAAGUGGCGAACGGGUGAGUAAUACGUGGGUAACCUGCCCUCCUUUUUGGGAUAAGCCUUGGAAAAGUGAUCUAAUACCGCAUAAAGGGGGCUUGGCUCGCGGCCUAUCAGCUGGUUGGUGUGGUGAUGGCCUACCAAGGCGGUUACGGGUAGCCGGGCUGAGAGGGGGGCCGGCCAGGUUGGGAAUGGGAACGUGCACAGAGACAUGCGGGAGGCAGCAGGGGGGGAGAUUGCAGACGGGGCGAAAGCAUGAUGCAGGGACGCGGCGUGGGGGAGGCAGGUUUGGGGGUUGUAAACCUGUGUCGAUAUCGAACGGGUAGGUGGAGAAGAAGUGCCGGCUAACUACGUGCCAGCAGCCGCGGUAAUAC